rnacentral:rRNA from 1 species
AGAGUUUGAUCAUGGCUCAGAUUGAACGCUGGCGGCAGGCCUAACACAUGCAAGUCGAGCGGUAGCACAGAGAGCUUGCUCUCGGGUGACGAGCGGCGGACGGGUGAGUAAUGUCUGGGAAACUGCCUGAUGGAGGGGGAUAACUACUGGAAACGGUAGCUAAUACCGCAUAAUGUCGCAAGACCAAAGUGGGGGACCUUCGGGCCUCAUGCCAUCAGAUGUGCCCAGAUGGGAUUAGCUAGUAGGUGGGGUAACGGCUCACCUAGGCGACGAUCCCUAGCUGGUCUGAGAGGAUGACCAGCCACACUGGAACUGAGACACGGUCCAGACUCCUACGGGAGGCAGCAGUGGGGAAUAUUGCACAAUGGGCGCAAGCCUGAUGCAGCCAUGCCGCGUGUGUGAAGAAGGCCUUCGGGUUGUAAAGCACUUUCAGCGGGGAGGAAGGCGAUAAGGUUAAUAACCUUGUCGAUUGACGUUACCCGCAGAAGAAGCACCGGCUAACUCCGUGCCAGCAGCCGCGGUAAUACGGAGGGUGCAAGCGUUAAUCGGAAUUACUGGGCGUAAAGCGCACGCAGGCGGUCUGUCAAGUCGGAUGUGAAAUCCCCGGGCUCAACCUGGGAACUGCAUUCGAAACUGGCAGGCUAGAGUCUUGUAGAGGGGGGUAGAAUUCCAGGUGUAGCGGUGAAAUGCGUAGAGAUCUGGAGGAAUACCGGUGGCGAAGGCGGCCCCCCUGGACAAAGACUGACGCUCAGGUGCGAAAGCGUGGGGAGCAAACAGGAUUAGAUACCCUGGUAGUCCACGCCGUAAACGAUGUCGAUUUGGAGGUUGUGCCCUUGAGGCGUGGCUUCCGGAGCUAACGCGUUAAAUCGACCGCCUGGGGAGUACGGCCGCAAGGUUAAAACUCAAAUGAAUUGACGGGGGCCCGCACAAGCGGUGGAGCAUGUGGUUUAAUUCGAUGCAACGCGAAGAACCUUACCUGGUCUUGACAUCCACAGAACUUUCCAGAGAUGGAUUGGUGCCUUCGGGAACUGUGAGACAGGUGCUGCAUGGCUGUCGUCAGCUCGUGUUGUGAAAUGUUGGGUUAAGUCCCGCAACGAGCGCAACCCUUAUCCUUUGUUGCCAGCGGUUCGGCCGGGAACUCAAAGGAGACUGCCAGUGAUAAACUGGAGGAAGGUGGGGAUGACGUCAAGUCAUCAUGGCCCUUACGACCAGGGCUACACACGUGCUACAAUGGCAUAUACAAAGAGAAGCGACCUCGCGAGAGCAAGCGGACCUCAUAAAGUAUGUCGUAGUCCGGAUUGGAGUCUGCAACUCGACUCCAUGAAGUCGGAAUCGCUAGUAAUCGUAGAUCAGAAUGCUACGGUGAAUACGUUCCCGGGCCUUGUACACACCGCCCGUCACACCAUGGGAGUGGGUUGCAAAAGAAGUAGGUAGCUUAACCUUCGGGAGGGCGCUUACCACUUUGUGAUUCAUGACUGGGGUGAAGUCGUAACAAGGUAACCGUAGGGGAACCUGCGGUUGGAUCACCU